rnacentral:rRNA from 1 species
GAUGAACGCUAGCUACAGGCUUAACACAUGCAAGUCGAGGGGAAACGGCAUUUAGUGCUUGCACCGAAUGGACGUCGACCGGCGCACGGGUGAGUAACGCGUAUCCAACCUUCCCAUAACUAAGGGAUAACCUGCCGAAAGGCAGACUAAUACCUUAUGUAAUCCUUUGAUGGCAUCAGAUAAGGAUAAAAGAUUUAUCGGUUAUGGAUGGGGAUGCGUCUGAUUAGCUUGUUGGCGGGGUAACGGCCCACCAAGGCAACGAUCAGUAGGGGUUCUGAGAGGAAGGUCCCCCACAUUGGAACUGAGACACGGUCCAAACUCCUACGGGAGGCAGCAGUGAGGAAUAUUGGUCAAUGGACGGAAGUCUGAACCAGCCAAGUAGCGUGCAGGAAGACGGCCCUAUGGGUUGUAAACUGCUUUUGUAUGGGGAUAAAGUCAAUCACGUGUGAUUGUUUGCAGGUACCAUACGAAUAAGGACCGGCUAAUUCCGUGCCAGCAGCCGCGGUAAUACGGAAGGUUCGGGCGUUAUCCGGAUUUAUUGGGUUUAAAGGGAGCGUAGGCCGGAGAUUAAGUGUGUUGUGAAAUGUAGACGCUCAACGUCUGACUUGCAGCGCAUACUGGUUUCCUUGAGUACGCACAACGUUGGCGGAAUUCGUCGUGUAGCGGUGAAAUGCUUAGAUAUGACGAAGAACUCCGAUUGCGAAGGCAGCUGACGGGAGCGCAACUGACGCUGAAGCUCGAAGGUGCGGGUAUCGAACAGG